GGAUAGUCUACACUCGUCAUACU
rnacentral:siRNA from 1 species